AAGUCGUAACAAGGUUUCCGUAGGUGAACCUGCGGAAGGAUCAUUAUUGAAUGUAGAGGAGUUGUUUAGCUGGCCUUUCGAGGUACUGUGCUCGCUCCUUUCACUCUCUUACCACCUGUGCACCUCUUGUAGUCUUUUUGUAUUCCCUCUUCGGAGGAAGGCGGAGUGUUGCCGUGCGCAAAGCAUUGGCUCUACUCCAUCUCAAAAGGACUAUGUUUUUACAUACCCCUUCAAUAAACCUUUGAAUGUCUUCUAGUCUUGCCGUCAAAAAGCAGACUUAUUAAUUACAA
rnacentral:misc_RNA from 1 species